rnacentral:rRNA from 1 species
UACAGAGGUCUCAAGCGUUGUUCGGAUUCAUUGGGCGUAAAGGGUGCGUAGGCGGCCCUGUAAGUCAGUGCUGAAAUAUCCCGGCUUAACCGGGAGGGUGGCAUUGAUACUGCAGGGCUUGAGUGAAGUCGAGGUAGGCGGAAUUGACGGUAUAGCGGUGAAAUGCUUAGAUAUCGUCAAGAACACCGAUAGUGAAGACAGCUUACUAGACUUCAACUGACGCUGAGGCACGAAAGUGUGGGGAUCAAACAGG